rnacentral:rRNA from 1 species
AACGAACGCUGGCGGCAGGCCUAACACAUGCAAGUCGAACGCCGUAGCAAUACGGAGUGGCAGACGGGUGAGUAACGCGUGGGAACAUACCCCUCGGUUCGGAAUAACUCAGGGAAACCUGAGCUAAUACCGGAUACGUCCGAGGUUUUGAUCGACCUUGGAGAAAGAUUUAUCGCCGAAGGAUUGGCCCGCGUCUGAUUAGCUUGUUGGUGAGGUAAUGGCUCACCAAGGCGACGAUCAGUAGCUGGUCUGAGAGGAUGAUCAGCCACAUUGGGACUGAGACACGGCCCAAACUCCUACGGGAGGCAGCAGUGGGGAAUAUUGGACAAUGGGCGAAAGCCUGAUCCAGCCAUGCCGCGUGAGUGAUGAAGGCC